AUGAACGCUGGCGGCGUGCCUAAUACCUGCAAGUCGAGCGAACGGACGAGAAGCUUGCUUCUCUGAUGUUAGCGGCGGACGGGUGAGUAACACGUGGAUAACCUACCUAUAAGACUGGGAUAACUUCGGGAAACCGGAGCUAAUACCGGAUAAUAUUUUGAACCGCAUGGUUCAAAAGUGAAAGACGGUCUUGCUGUCACUUAUAGAUGGAUCCGCGCUGCAUUAGCUAGUUGGUAAGGUAACGGCUUACCAAGGCAACGAUGCAUAGCCGACCUGAGAGGGUGAUCGGCCACACUGGAACUGAGACACGGUCCAGACUCCUACGGGAGGCGGCAGUAGGGAAUCUUCCGCAAUGGGCGAAAGCCUGACGGAGCAACGCCGCGUGAGUGAUGAAGGUCUUCGGAUCGUAAAACUCUGUUAUUAGGGAAGAACAUAUGUGUAAGUAACUGUGCACAUCUUGACGGUACCUAAUCAGAAAGCCACGGCUAACUACGUG
rnacentral:rRNA from 1 species